CGGCUCUCCGUAAAAUGGACCAAUCAGCAGGAUGUGGGUGGGGCCAGAUAAGAAUAAAAGCAGGCUGCCCUCGGUAGCAGUAGCAACCGACUGCGGUCCCCUUUCACGUUGUGGGGCCAGUGUUCUUUUGCUAUUUGCAGUAAACCUUGCCGCUGGUCACUUUGGGUCCACACUGCGUUUAUGAGGUGUAACACUCACUGUGAAGGUCUGCAGCUUCACUCCUGAAGCCAGGGAGAGCACGAACCCACCAUGGGGGAACAAACAACUCCAGACGUGCUGCCUUAAGAGCUGUAACACUCGCCGUAAAGGUUUGCAGGUUCACUCCUGAGCCAGCGAGACCAUGAACCCCCCAGAAGGAAGAAACUCGGAGCACAUCCGAACAUCAGAAGGAGCAAACGCCAGACACGCUGCGUUUAAGAACAGCAACACUCACCACGAGAGUCUGCGGCUUCAUUCUUGAACCUGUGGCAAGAAGUUUGAAGUUUGUUGGGACACCUUUUCAUCAAGGAGAACUUGGCAGAAUCUAGUGCUGGUCCUGGAGCUAAGUCUUGAGAAGACCUGGAGGCUUCCACUUCUGCGCUUUUGGAAAUUCUGAGCUUCCGUGUUAGAAGAGUUGCUACCCUUCUGGAGAUACUACAUGGAAAGACCUCAUGAAGAGGCCAUAUGGAAAGGGAGAAGCCUUGUCCAACCAUCUCCACCAAGGUCCCAGGCAUAUGAGAGAGCCAACUUGGACAGUCUGGUCCUGUUGAGCCCCCAGAUGCCCACAGUCUCAGUUGACAACAUGUGGAGCAGAAGAACUGCCCAGAUGAGCCCAGCCAACCCAGUGAAUCAUGAGAAUAAGGAAAUGGUUUUUGCUUAAAGCUUUUGCUUUGAAGUGGUUCCUUAUGCAGCAGUAGAUAUCUGAAACAGGGGGCAUUGAUUAGGUAUGUGGUCUUCUUUAAUUAUUCAUUUCACUGAACUCCACUUCCAGGCAUUUAGUAUAUUCUUCUGUGGGUUGAUAUUAGCUAUUGAAUGCAAAACCCCUCUAGUUCACAAUCAGCACAAGUCUUUGAUUUUUUUUUUUGAAAGGUGAACUCAUUUGACGGCCCUUAUCAAUAUUUGAAGCCCAGAAAAGCACAUACAUAACAAAACCAGAGCUUCAGGCUAUAAAUGGAAUUGGCUCGAUUCUUCUUGCUCUUUUCUGCAUCUUGCUCUUUUCUGCAUCAGCCUUAGCAUGGCACCAUUAGUGAUCCAUGAGAUAGCUGUUUAGGGCCCUGAAAUAGAUUGAUCUGAAGUUCCCUUGGCAAGGAAUAAAGACAAUAAUAGGUAGAAGGUUGAAGAAGUUUUAAUUUAGAGAAAUUUUACGAAGUAAGAAGGAAAAUAAAAGAAAGCCACCAAAUUGAAUAAUUUCCAUCGUGUUUAAAGAUGCUAAUUCAACCCACUGGCACCAGGGAA
rnacentral:lncRNA from 1 species